UUGGCCCUGAAUCAAGGCCAACAAUUUGAUGGAGCUGUUGAUUUCAAGCAGGAGCCUAAAGAAAUAUCUUCCUAUAGUCCGUUGGCCAUUUCAGAACUUUGAAAAUGUGAUGGUCAAUUCAUUAGAAAGAAACAUCU